AACGAACGCUGGCGGCAUGCCUAACACAUGCAAGUCGAACGAGACCUUCGGGUCUAGUGGCGCACGGGUGCGUAACGCGUGGGAACCUGCCUUUAGGUUCGGAAUAACUCAGAGAAAUUUGAGCUAAUACCGGAUGAUGUCUUCGGACCAAAGAUUUAUCGCCUUUAGAUGGGCCCGCGUUGGAUUAGCUAGUUGGUGGGGUAAAGGCCUACCAAGGCGACGAUCCAUAGCUGGUCUGAGAGGAUGAUCAGCCACACUGGGACUGAGACACGGCCCAGACUCCUACGGGAGGCAGCAGUGGGGAAUAGUGGACAAUGGGCGAAAGCCUGAUCCAGCAAUGCCGCGUGAGUGAUGAAGGCCUUAGGGUUGUAAAGCCCUUUUACCCGAGAUGAUAAUGACAGUAUCGGGAGAAUAAGCUCCGGCUAACUCCGUG
rnacentral:rRNA from 1 species